rnacentral:rRNA from 1 species
GAACGCAGCGAAACGCGAUAGGUAAUGUGAAUUGCAGAAUUCCGUGAAUCAUCGAAUCUUUGAACGCACCUUGCGCUCCAUGGUAUUCCGUGGAGCAUGCCUGUUUGAGUGCCGCGAAUUCUCCCUCCCCUUACGGUGGCCGAAAGGCCGAAGUAGGGCGGACGGGGUAGGAUGGGUGUUUGCUGCCUGGGGAUUGUACCAGGCUCGCCCGAAAUGCAUAAGCGCCAGGACCCUCGCUACCGCUCUCUAGGGAAGAGUGGCUAAGCGACCGCUGAGCAUGGCAUGAUACGUCAUUUGCUGUGUGUGGGCGGCCGGUUGGAGAGGUGUCUGCUUUACCAGCCCUAUUUUAAUUCUGGUCUCAAAUCAGGUAGGAUCACCCGCUGAACUUAAGCAUAUCA